UAUAUAUAUUUUUGGGCAACGACAAACUUAACUUACUGACCGUCCCUAACGCAAAUGAUAAAGGGCUUGGUGGUUGGUAUCCAAGAUUCCAAAUUCGAAGUCUAGCUAGUUUAUUCACAUUUCCAGCUAAGUUUAUUUCUAAAAAAAAUAAACGAAGUGGGUAACAUGUUACCUAUCUCUCUCUCAAAAAAAGAAAACAAUGAACUCGACUUUUUAAGUUUUCAUAUAUGUUAUUUGAAGCUUUCUCAAUUUUAAAAAUAUCUUAAUAGUUUUAGUAAAAUAAUAAUUUUUCUCCCAAAUAAUAGAAUCAAAUAAAUUU
rnacentral:lncRNA from 1 species